GUCCGGCCGCGCCUGCAUAUUUUAUUCAAAAGGACCACCCUGCUCGGGAGGGGGUGUGAAUCAUGCAGCCCAGCACCCUCCACCCUCCACCGUUAUCAAUCACUAUCAAUUAUAAAAUUUCACCGGGGGAGCGCGCCACGGCAACCCGGAACCACCGCGAACCGCAUAACCGCCCAGUGUAUCCAUUAGAGUUGAGUGGUUUUUACUUAGCGGAGUGGUGCGCAACCCGGUGUCUGAGGGUUGGCGGGGGUGAGGUGUAAUGAAUUAGCCGCAUCCUCCGACGGAAGGAGUAUUUUAGCGUCGGCACGGAUAUCUCGCCGAAGAAUGGAAGCGCCGGUCUUUCGCCCGGGUAGGAGAAAGCCGUAUUUACAGUUAUGAUAAUAAAGUGUUCGGGUGGAUUCAGGCAGCAUAAAGAUGAGGUUGUGGAUUAUUUUACCGUGGAUAUACUGGUUGAAUACAGCAACUGGCUUAUGGACGGAAAAGCCUGAUGAUUUGGUAAUUGCGAACUGCAAGGAGCUCAAAUUCCAGUUCGGAGAUAAAAUUUCCUCUUUUCUACCAAAUGGAGAUUAACGGAUCCGAAAUCGCAACCCCGGCACUGGUUCUUUGCCGUUUCGGACACGGAGCUGUGGCACAUCGUGAAGGAGUCCUACAUCCUUCCGCAGAAGGGCUUCGUCGACAUCCUUCCCUCGGUACAACGGAUCUCCGGAAGACGAGUCUGUGUCGUCCAUCCGAAGGUUCCCGGCCGGCCACUCACAGGACACGCCGGCACCCGUCUGGCCAAGAGGAUGUGGAAGAUGGCUGUCCCGUUUGAGACUUUUUCUUGCAACUGUCACCACUGGGCAGACUACAUGGCCCACGGUCGGACCUACGGCGACUUGUACACGUGGCAUUACCUGCCGGCCAACUACGCUUGCCCGGUUCACCAGCCCUUCGACGCAACGACCGACAUCUCCUCCCCUGGUUUCAAACUCGCCAUCAAGGAUAAGUUCGGGAACCUGCAGAGCAUCGAGUGGCCCCAAAGUCUGUCCGACGAACAACUAGCCCAAGAGGUCAAGCAACGGCGGUUGUUCUCGUCUAAAGUGACCGACGAACUCGCCACACUGAGAGAGACCUGGGCAACAAAAGUUCGACCGUUUUUGCCCGCGAAGAUCCCUCCAUCCGCCAUCCCACCCUUCAUGUCCAAGAGCUCCAACGGUUCGUCCUUCUUCUCCAGGAGUGUCUCCAGUUUCUCACGGCUGGCGUCCUUCCGCCGGCUGUCGCGAAAAAAUAACAAGAGUAGUUCGGAUGGACGUGCCAAGGACAUUUCCGUGGGUGGCCAAAACUGAAAAGGGGGGGGGGUCUCCAAAUUGAUGAUAUUAGGAGGUACAUAGAUAGAUAGGUGUUAGAUUUCACAUAAAAUCAUGUUUUAAAUAUCUAGUUAUUAAAUAAAAUACUUUAAUUAAAUAUUGUUUUACUAUUUAAUAAUUUAGAUUAUAGGUAUAAACGAAAAAAACUUUAAAAGUUAAGUAUUGAAGUAAAAUAAAUUAGAAUUAGAUAAAUUCUCGAGUUAGAUUUAUGGCAAGACUCAUCCUAUUUCUGGUUCCUUCAUUUAAGUAUUUUUAUUUUUACAUAAACUAAUUACAUAUUUGCAUAAAUUAAUUUUUAUAAAUACUUUAUAUAAAUUUCUUUUAAAUAAACAUGUAUGUACAAGGUCGUAAAAUUGUGCUGGGUCCAGACUAUUUUGAAGGGAAUGCAAGGCCAAAUAGCAGGGCAAAUAUAUGUGCACGUAUUAAGUUAGAUUUUUCGUUGGAAUUUAAAUCUGGAAUGAAAGGAGAACUAAAAAACUAACUAUUCAUAAUAUUAAAAUUAAAAAUUAAUUUUUAAGUGAAAAAUCUUAUAUUAAAUCAAAGGAAAAGAACAUCCUUCAGAAUUGUAGAAAAAUAAAGACUGUUUCUUGGUUAAUUUGUUAAGUUGGGGAGAUUUAAAAGUAAUCAAAUCUUUUCUAUGAAAAAAUGAGCUAACUAAAAUUAAAUUAUCCAACUAUGCAAUAAAAUAAUUGAAACCCACUUCAAUUUAUUGUAAUUAAAAUUGUAUUAAAUGUUCGAAUUUUUUAAUAAAAGUGACAUUCAAUAUUCCUAUUGAAGUAUUGGCAUCUUUUUCUUUUCUUUC
rnacentral:lncRNA from 1 species